GACAUGGUAAGCUAAGUUAAGCUAGUGGGCUCAUGACCCGAAAAUGAUUAGAAUAUCUAUUGUCU
rnacentral:tRNA from 1 species